UGGGGAAUAUUGCGCAAUGGGGGAAACCCUGACGCAGCCACGCCGCGUGAAGGAAGACGGUUUUCGGAUUGUAAACUUCUUUGACCGGGGACGAUAAUGACGGUACCCGGAAAACAAGCCACGGCUAACUACGUGCCAGCAGCCGCGGUAAUACGUAGGUGGCGAGCGUUGUCCGGAAUUACUGGGUGUAAAGGGUGAGUAGGCGGAAUGGCAAGUCAGAUGUGAAAUAUCGGGGCUUAACCCCGGGGCUGCAUUUGAAACUGCUGUUCUUGAGUGAUGGAGAGGCAGGCGGAAUUCCUAGUGUAGCGGUGAAAUGCGUAGAUAGUAGGAGGAACACCAGAGGCGAAGGCGGCCUGCUGGACAUUAACUGACGCUGGGGCACGAAAGCGUGGGGAGCAAACA
rnacentral:rRNA from 1 species